rnacentral:rRNA from 1 species
CCUACGGGUGGCAGCAGUGAGGAAUAUUGGUCAAUGGCCGGAAGGCUGAACCAGCCAAGCAGCGUGAAGGACGAAGGUGCCAAGCAUUGUAAACUUCUUUUGUCAAGGGAUAAAAUCAGGCUCGAGAGCCUGACCGAGGGUACUGGAAGAAAAAGCAUCGGCUAACUCCGUGCCAGCAGCCGCGGUAAUACGGAGGAUGCGAGCGUUGUCCGGAUUCAUUGGGGUUAAAGGGUUCGUAGGCGGGACGUUAAGGCAGGCGGUAAAGGCCGAGGGUCAACCUCGGGCGGGCGGUUGAAACUGGCUAGCUUGAGAUGUCGAGAGGUAAACGGAAUGCGCAGUGUAGCGGUGAAAUGCUUAGAUAUUGCGCAGAACUCCGAUUGCGAAGGC